rnacentral:rRNA from 1 species
UACGGGGGGGGCAAGCGUUGUUCGGAAUUACUGGGCGUAAAGGGCGCGUAGGCGGCCUGCUAAGUCGAACGUGAAAUCCCCGGGCUCAACCCGGGAACUGCGUCCGAUACUGGCAGGCUUGAAUUCGGGAGAGGGAUGCGGAAUUCCAGGUGUAGCGGUGAAAUGCGCAGAUAUCAGGAGGAACACCGGUGGCGAAGGCGGGUCUCUGGGCCGAUACUGACGCUGAGGAGCGAAAGCGUGGGGAGCAAACAGG